CUUUAUUGGAGAGUUUGAUCCUGGCUCAGGAUGAACGCUGGCGGCGUGCCUAAUACAUGCAAGUCGAGCGAAUGGAUUAAGAGCUUGCUCUUAUGCAGUUAGCGGCGGACGGGUGAGUAACACGUGUGUAACCUGCCCAUAAGACUGGUAUAACUCCG
rnacentral:rRNA from 1 species